AACGAACGCUGGCGGCAUGCCUAACACAUGCAAGUCGAACGAGACCUUCGGGUCUAGUGGCGCACGGGUGCUUACCGCGUGGGAACCUGCCCUUAGGUUCGGAAUAACUCCCCGAAGGGGGUGCUCAUACCGGUUAAUGUCUUAGGACCAAAGAUUUAUCGCAUUUGGAUGGGCCCGCGUUGGAUUAGCUAGUUGGUAGGGUAAACGCCUACCACGGCGACGAUCCAUAGCUGGUCUGAGAGGAUGAUCAGCCACACUGGGACUGAGACACGGCCCAGACUCCUACGGGAGGCAGCAGUGGGGAAUAUUGGACAAGGGGCGAAAGCCUGAUCCAGCAAUGCCGCGUGAGUGAUGAAGGCCUUAGGGUUGUAAAGCUCUUUUACCCGGGAUGAUAAUGACAGUACCGGGAGAAUAAGCUCCGGCUAACUCCGUG
rnacentral:rRNA from 1 species